GAUGAACGCUGGCGGCGUGCCUAAUACAUGCAAGUCGAGCGAACGGACGAGAAGCUUGCUUCUCUGAUGUUAGCGGCGGACGGGUGAGUAACACGUGGAUAACCUACCUAUAAGACUGGGAUAACUUCGGGAAACCGGAGCUAAUACCGGACAAUAUUUUGAACCGCAUGGUUCAAAAGUGAAAGACGGUCUUGCUGUCACUUAUAGAUGGAUCCGCGCUGCAUUAGCUAGUUGGUAAGGUAACGGCUUACCAAGGCAACGAUGCAUAGCCGACCUGAGAGGGUGAUCGGCCACACUGGAACUGAGACACGGUCCAGACUCCUACGGGAGGCAGCAGUAGGGAAUCUUCCGCAAUGGGCGAAAGCCUGACGGAGCAACGCCGCGUGAGUGAUGAAGGUCUUCGGAUCGUAAAACUCUGUUAUUAGGGAAGAACAUAUGUGUAAGUAACUGUGCACAUCUUGACGGUACCUAAUCAGAAAGCCACGGCUAACUACG
rnacentral:rRNA from 1 species